rnacentral:lncRNA from 1 species
UAUGAUCAAGUUAUAACAUGCCUGUGUUAAUAAUAUAAUUUAUACUUUGUUUUCAGGUGCAAGACUUGGGAUCACCAAAUACUCUUCUAGGUCUAGUCAUGAUUUAGGGAUGUGUUGAAGUUGACGCUCUUCUGGGUUAAGUACUUAAGUAUACGCCAGAUGAUUUAGAUGAAGUAGGUUUUAGUUUUAUAUGCAAUAAUGCAAAGGUCUUUUGGUAUAGUGAUCCAUUAAGUCUGUUUAGGCCCGUGUUCAGGGGCGGAGCCACCCCCCAGCUAGCCUGGGCACUAGCCCAGACUCAACUCCAAUUUUUUUUGUAGCAAGCCCAGCCAUUACUAGAACUUUUAGCUUUUCCUGCGGAUAUUUAUGUAAAUUCCGCAGGAAACACAUUUCCUGCAGAUUCCGCAGGAAAUGUGAAAUUAUCCGCAAGAAAUGUGAAAUUAUUCGCAGGAAGAAAGUAACAUUUUGCGAUAAUUUUUUUGCCCAGACUCUAUAAAAUUUCUGGCUCCGCCACUGCCCGUGUUUAAGUUUUGUUGUGUUUUGGUGAUGUUUAG